ACUGCACACAGUCACUGAGUACAGACUGGCUGGUUCCUGUAAAGGGAGAGGCAGCAAAACCAGACAAACAGGUGCAGGAACAGGCGGAGAAACACCUGAAAAACAAGAAGUUCAACGUCAUUUUCCAGAAGUGAAAGUGUGAGAGAGCAGCAGCAGAGCUGCAGUUGAGUCCUGUUUGUCUCGUUGAGUCCUGUUUGUCUCUAAAAGAAGAUUCACCGGAGUCCAUCAGGUUUCUCUCAGCAACAGUGGUGAUCCAGGUGAUCGAUAUAUGUAUUUUUUUUGUCUGCUUAUUCUGUUGGUUUUGUUUUUUGCCCUUUUCCCCGUCCCUCUUCCCCGCUGUUUUUCUUUCCUCUUUCUUUCUCCCUUUCUUUCCCCAGUUAAGUCUGUCCCGUAUUCAGCAAGUGAAAAUAAAAUAAACAAUAAAGGUGAAUCAAAUGGACCAUUACGGCAAGGCUGGGAUGGUCAAUUU
ensembl:lncRNA